AGUCGACGGUGAGCCCAGCUUGCUGGGUGGAUCAGUGGCGAACGGGUGAGUAACACGUGAGCAACCUGCCCCUGACUCUGGGAUAAGCGCUGGAAACGGCGUCUAAUACUGGAUAUGUACCACGAUCGCAUGGUCUGUGGUUGGAAAGAUUUUUCGGUUGGGGAUGGGCUCGCGGCCUAUCAGCUUGUUGGUGAGGUAAUGGCUCACCAAGGCGUCGACGGGUAGCCGGCCUGAGAGGGUGACCGGCCACACUGGGACUGAGACACGGCCCAGACUCCUACGGGAGGCAGCAGUGGGGAAUAUUGCACAAUGGGCGCAAGCCUGAUGCAGCAACGCCGCGUGAGGGAUGACGGCCUUCGGGUUGUAAACCUCUUUUAGCAGGGAAGAAGCGAAAGUGACGGUACCUGCAGAAAAAGCGCCGGCUAACUACGUGCCAGCAGCCGCGGUAAUACGUAGGGCGCAAGCGUUAUCCGGAAUUAUUGGGCGUAAAGAGCUCGUAGGCGGUUUGUCGCGUCUGCUGUGAAAUCCGGAGGCUCAACCUCCGGCCUGCAGUGGGUACGGGCAGACUAGAGUG
rnacentral:rRNA from 1 species